rnacentral:rRNA from 1 species
AAUCAACGCUGGCGGCGUGCCUAACACAUGCAAGUCGAACGCGAAAAUUCCUUCGGGGAUGAGUAGAGUGGCGUCCGGGUGAGUAACGCGUGGGUAAUCUGCCUUCGGGUGGGGAAUAACCCAGGGAAACUUGGGCUAAUACCGCAUAAUGCAGCGGCUCGACAUCGAGACAGUUGUUAAAGCAGCAAUGCGCCCUGAAGAGGAGCCUGCGUCUGAUUAGCUAGUUGGUAAGGUAAUGGCUUACCAAGGCUACGAUCAGUAGCUGGUCUGAGAGGACGGCCAGCCACAAUGGCACUGAAACACGGGCCAUACUCCUACGGGAGGCAGCGAGUGGGGAAUUUUGCGCAAGUGGGCGAAAGCCUGACGUAGCAACGCCGCGUGAAGGAUGAAAUCCUUCGGGAUGUAAACUUCGCAAGUAUGGGAAGAAACAAAUGA